AACGCACAUUGCGCCCGCCGGUAUCCCGGCGGGCAUGCCUGUUCGAGCGUCAUUUCAACCCUCAGGCCUCGCCUGGUGUUGGGGCUUCCUGCGCACCGCAGGCCCUCAAAGGCAGCGGCGGGUGCGCCUACGAACCGAACGCAGUAGUUUCCUCUCGUUCUGGCCUUCGCGGGCGUGCUCCGGCCGUUAAAACCCAUAGACUCCAAAUGGUUGACCUCGGAUCAGGUAGGAAUACCCGCUGAACUUAA
rnacentral:misc_RNA from 1 species